UACGUAGGGUGCAGGCGUUAAUCGGAAUUACUGGGCGUAAAGCGUGCGCAGGCGGUUUGCUAAGACAGGUGUGAAAUCCCCGGGCUUAACCUGGGAACUGCGCUUGUAACUGGCAAGCUAGAGUGUGGCAGAGGGGGGGUGGAAUUCCACGUGUAGCAGUGAAAUGCGUAGAGAUGUGGAGGAACACCGAUGGCGAAGGCAGCCCCCUGGGCUAACACUGACGCUCAUGCACGAAAGCGUGGGGAGCAAACAGG
rnacentral:rRNA from 1 species